AUUGAACGCUGGCGGCAUGCCUUACACAUGCAAGUCGAACGGCAGCACGGGAGCAAUCCUGGUGGCGAGUGGCGAACGGGUGAGUAAAGUAUCGGAACGUGCCCAGUCGUGGGGGAUAACGUAGCGAAAGUUACGCUAAUACCGCAUACGAUCUAGGGAUGAAAGCGGGGGAUCGAAAGACCUCGCGCGAUUGGAGCGGCCGAUAUCAGAUUAGGUAGUUGGUGGGGUAAAGGCUCACUAAGCCGACGAUCUGUAGCUGGUCUGAGAGGACGACCAGCCACACUGGGACUGAGACACGGCCCAGACUCCUACGGGAGGCAGCAGUGGGGAAUUUUGGACAAUGGGCGAAAGCCUGAUCCAGCCAUGCCGCGUGCAGGAUGAAGGCCUUCGGGUUGUAAACUGCUUUUGUACGGAACGAAAAGGUUUGGCCUAAUAAGCUGAGCUCAUGACGGUACCGUAAGAAUAAGCACCGGCUAACUACGUGCCAGCCGCCGCAGUAA
rnacentral:rRNA from 1 species